UCUUAAAUUGGGUCUUGUAAGGUACAUCUGUAUGAACCUGUAUUUGUGCUUUAGGCAUUUAGCAGAAGAGCUGAAAGUCACCCAGGAAACUGGCAAGUAAUGAAUCAAUCAAGACUUGUUCAUGAUCAAUAAAAGAUUGGACUAAUUAAAUUUAAGGUUAGGUCUGCAGUCCAGCUCAGCAUGAGAUGUACCUCCAUGAAAACCCACUUUCAAUCUUGAUGUUACCUCACUAAGCACCAAAUCUUGCCUCAUGCAAACCUCUGGACUUGGAUGAAAUCGGCCCAUGGGAGCAGAGGUGAUUCAGCAGCUGGCUACAUUUUUCAAAUAUUACUCCAGAACUCCUAACAGGACACCUCAUCACAUGACUGAACAGGAUGUUUUGCAUGUUUCCAGAAAAAUGUUUGACCUUGAUAUCUGGCCAAUAAAUAAAGUGCAGAAUGCAAGACAAUAUGUGAUUUUGCAUCACUGAAGUGUCUUUUCCAUAUCUCAAUACUAAGGAGUACAUGUGAGUGGGGCGAUGAUGAUCUCAGCAGCUCUCUUAUUCACAGGAGCACAGCAGCUAGCUCCGGAUGUGUGAUUUGGGAGACUUUUACACGCUACCUGACACAACUUCAAAGGGAUUUGUGUCUCCUCCCGGGAUCAAACUAAGGAUCUUUGUGUCAUUAAACGAAUGUGCAAAUCUCUACACCAUAGCGCCACUACUUAAUUCUCUAAAAUAUAGCAAACUGUCAAUCUUAAACAAACUUAAAGCAUCAUCAUCACAAACAUGAAAUAAAUGAAGGUAAAGACAUGAAACAAAUAUUUGUCUGACACCAUUCAAAGUGUUAGUUUUUAUCAUGGGGUCAAAUCCUGAAAUUACUUCCCAUAAAGCAACACAUUUAAAAUUGCGUAUGUGCUUAAAAAACAAACAAACAAACCACACAUGGCCAGACAGUAACAACUAUUUAUUAUAAACACUGUACAUCACAGAGAUCCUAACCAUUGAUCCACAUGUACACUACAGCUAACAACACUGAUCUGGUGUGGACUCUUCAUUGACCUUUUAAAAAAAUAUUUUUUUCAACACAUACAUUGGA